AUACGUAGGGUGCAAGCGUUAAUCGGAAUUACUGGGCGUAAAGCGUGCGCAGGCGGUUCGGAAAGAAAGAUGUGAAAUCCCAGGGCUCAACCUUGGAAUGGCAUUUUUAACUCCCGAACUAGAGUGUGUCAGAGGGGGGUGGAAUUCCGCGUGUAGCAGUGAAAUGCGUAGAUAUGCGGAGGAACACCGAUGGCGAAGGCAGCCCCCUGGGAUAACACUGACGCUCAGGCACGAAAGCGUGGGGAGCAAACAGGAUUAGAUACCCUGGUAGUCCACGCCCUAAACGAUGUCAACUAGCUGUUGGGUUCUUCGGGACUUAGUAGCGCAGCUAACGCGUGAAGUUGACCGCCUGGGGAGUACGGUCGCAAGAUUAAA
rnacentral:rRNA from 1 species